UACGUAGGGUGCGAGCGUUGUCCGGAAUUACUGGGCGUAAAGAGCUCGUAGGUGGUUUGUCGCGUUGUCCGUGAAAACUCACAACUCAAUUGUGGGCGUGCGGGCGAUACGGGCAGACUGGAGUACUGCAGGGGAGACUGGAAUUCCUGGUGUAGCGGUGGAAUGCGCAGAUAUCAGGAGGAACACCGGUGGCGAAGGCGGGUCUCUGGAACGGUACUGACGCUGAGGCGCGAAAGCGUGGGGAGCAAACAGG
rnacentral:rRNA from 1 species